rnacentral:rRNA from 1 species
UACGUAGGGACCAAGCGUUGUUCGGAUUUACUGGGCGUAAAGGGCGCGUAGGCGGCGUGUUAAGUCAGCUGUGAAAUCUCCAAGCUUAACUUGGAACGGUCAGCUGAUACUGAUGUGCUAGAGUGCAGAAGGGGCAAUCGGAAUUCUUGGUGUAGCGGUGUAAUGCGUAGAUAUCAAGAGGAACACCUGAGGUGAAGACGGGUUGCUGGGCUGACACUGACGCUGGAGGCGCGAAAGCUACGGGUAGCAAACGGG